GACGUAGGGCGCGAGCGUUGUCCGGAUUUAUUGGGCGUAAAGAGCUCGUAGGCGGUUUGUCACGUCGGCCGUGAAAACUCGGGGCUCAACCCCGAGCCUGCGGUCGAUACGGGCAGACUAGAGUGCUGUAGGGGAGACUGGAAUUCCUGGUGUAGCGGUGAAAUGCGCAGAUAUCAGGAGGAACACCGGUGGCGAAGGCGGGUCUCUGGGCAGUAACUGACGCUGAGGAGCGAAAGCGUGGGGAGCGAACAGG
rnacentral:rRNA from 1 species